rnacentral:misc_RNA from 1 species
GAUGAAGAACGUAGCGAAAUGCGAUAAGUAAUGUGAAUUGCAGAAUUCAGUGAAUCAUCGAAUCUUUGAACGCACAUUGCGCCCGGUAGUAUUCUGCCGGGCAUGCCUGUUCGAGCGUCAUUUCAACCAUCAAGCCCCAGCGCUUGUGUUGGGGGCCUGCGGCUGCCGCAGCCCCCUAAAAGCAGUGGCGGGCUCGCUAUCACACCGAGUGCAGUAGUUCAUCUUCUCUCCGGUCUUGUGAGGCGGGUUCCGGCCGUGAAACACCCAACUACAUUUCAAGGUUGACCUCGGAUCAGGUAGGAAUACCCGCUGAACUUAAGCAUAUCAAUAAGCGGAGGA